rnacentral:rRNA from 1 species
UGCCCAUCAGAAGGGGAUAACACUUGGAAACAGGUGCUAAUACCGUAUAACAAUCGAAACCGCAUGGUUUUGAUUUGAAAGGCGCUUUCGGGUGUCGCUGAUGGAUGGACCUGCGGUGCAUUAGCUAGUUGGUGAGGUAACGGCUCACCAAGGCGACGAUGCAUAGCCGACCUGAGAGGGUGAUCGGCCACRUUGGGACUGAGACACGGCCCAAACUCCUACGGGAGGCAGCAGUAGGGAAUCUUCGGCAAUGGACGAAAGUCUGACCGAGCAACGCCGCGUGAGUGAAGAAGGUUUUCGGAUCGUAAAACUCUGUUGUUAGAGAAGAACAAGGAUGAGAGUAACUGUUCAUCCCUUGACGGUAUCUAACCAGAAAGCCACGGCUAACUACGUGCCAGCAGCCGCGGUAAUACGUAGGUGGCAAGCGUUGUCCGGAUUUAUUGGGCGUAAAGCGAGCGCAGGCGGUUUCUUAAGUCUGAUGUGAAAGCCCCCGGCUCAACCGGGGAGGGUCAUUGGAAACUGGGAGACUUGAGUGCAGAAGAGGAGAGUGGAAUUCCAUGUGUAGCGGUGAAAUGCGUAGAUAUAUGGAGGAACACCAGUGGCGAAGGCGGCUCUCUGGUCUGUAACUGACGCUGAGGCUCGAAAGCGUGGGGAGCAAACAGGAUUAGAUACCCUGGUAGUCCACGCCGUAAACGAUGAGUGCUAAGUGUUGGAGGGUUUCCGCCCUUCAGUGCUGCAGCUAACGCAUUAAGCACUCCGCCUGGGGAGUACGACCGCAAGGUUGAAACUCAAAGGAAUUGACGGGGGCCCGCACAAGCGGUGGAGCAUGUGGUUUAAUUCGAAGCAACGCGAAGAACCUUACCAGGUCUUGACAUCCUUUGACCACUCUAGAGAUAGAGCUUCCCCUUCGGGGGCAAAGUGACAGGUGGUGCAUGGUUGUCGUCAGCUCGUGUCGUGAGAUGUUGGGUUAAGUCCCGCAACGAGCGCAACCCUUAUUGUUAGUUGCCAUCAUUUAGUUGGGCACUCUAGCAAGACUGCCGGUGACAAACCGGAGGAAGGUGGGGAUGACGUCAAAUCAUCAUGCCCCUUAUGACCUGGGCUACACACGUGCUACAAUGGGAAGUACAACGAGUCGCAAAGUCGCGAGGCUAAGCUAAUCUCUUAAAGCUUCUCUCAGUUCGGAUUGUAGGCUGCAACUCGCCUACAUGAAGCCGGAAUCGCUAGUAAUCGCGGAUCAGCACGCCGCGGUGAAUACGUUCCCGGGCCUUGUACACACCGCCCG